rnacentral:rRNA from 1 species
AAUAGAUACCCAGGUAGUCCACGCCGUAAACGAUGUCGACUUGGAGGUUGUUCCCUUGAGGAGUGGCUUCCGGAGCUAACGCGUUAAGUCGACCGCCUGGGGAGUACGGCCGCAAGGUUAAAACUCAAAUGAAUUGACGGGGGCCCGCACAAGCGGUGGAGCAUGUGGUUUAAUUCGAUGCAACGCGAAGAACCUUACCUACUCUUGACAUCCAGAGAACUUAGCAGAGAUGCUUUGGUGCCUUCGGGAACUCUGAGACAGGUGCUGCAUGGCUGUCGUCAGCUCGUGUUGUGAAAUGUUGGGUUAAGUCCCGCAACGAGCGCAACCCUUAUCCUUUGUUGCCAGCGGUCCGGCCGGGAACUCAAAGGAGACUGCCAGUGAUAAACUGGAGGAAGGUGGGGAUGACGUCAAGUCAUCAUGGCCCUUACGAGUAGGGCUACACACGUGCUACAAUGGCGUAUACAAAGAGAAGCGACCUCGCGAGAGCAAAGCGGACCUCAUAAAGUACGUCGUAGUCCGGAUUGGAGU